UUGGUUGGACAUGAUUUGGAAAGACACACACCUGUCUACAUAUAAGGUCCCACAGUUAACAGUGCAUGUCAGAGCAGAAACCAAGCAUGAAGUCAAAGGAACUGUCUGUAGACCUCAAGAGACAGGAUUGUCUUGAGGCACAAAUCUGGGGAAAGAUACAGAAACAUUUCUGCUGCAUUGAAGGUCCCAAUGAGCACAGUGGCCUCCACCGUCUGCAAAUAAAAGUUUGCCUCCACCGGGACUCAUCCAAGAGCUGGCCGUGCAUCUAAACUGAGCAAUUGGGGGAGAAGGGCCUUAGUCAGGGAGGUGACCAAGAACCCAAUGGUCACUCUCUCAGAGCUCCAGCAUUCCACUGUGGAGAGAGGAGAACCUUUCAGAAGGACAACCAUCUCUGCAGUAAUUCAUCAAUCAGGCCUGUAUGGCAGAGUGGCCAGACAGAAACUACUCCUUAGUAUAAGGCACAUGACAGUCUGCCUGGAGUUUACCAACAGGCACCGGAAUCUCAUACCAUAAGAA